UACAGAGGGUGCGAGCGUUAAUCGGAAUUACUGGGCGUAAAGCGUGCGUAGACGGUAGCGUAAGUCAGAUGUGAAAUCCCCGGGCUUAACCUGGGAACUGCAUUGGUGACUGGCAGGCUUUGAGUGUGGCAGAGGGAGGUAGAAUUCCACGUGUAGCAGUGAAAUGCGUAGAGAUGUGGAGGAAUACCGAUGGCGGAAGGCAGCCUCCUGGGCCAACACUGACGCUCAUGCACGAAAGCGUGGGGAGCAAACAGG
rnacentral:rRNA from 1 species